UACGUAGGGGGCGAGCGUUGUCCGGAUUUAUUGGGCGUAAAGGGUGUGUAGGCGGUUGUUUAAGUUUGGUGUGAAAUCUCCCGGCUCAACUGGGAGGGUGCGCCGAAUACUGAAUGACUUGGAGUGCGGGAGAGGAGAGUGGGAUUCCUGGUGUAGCGGUGAAAUGCGUAGAUAUCAGGAGGAACACCGGUGGUGUAGACGGCUUUCUGGACCGUAACUGACGCUGAGACACGAAAGCGUGGGUAGCAAACAGG
rnacentral:rRNA from 1 species